rnacentral:lncRNA from 1 species
GUCUUUAAAAGCUAUAAGAAAUGCUAGAACUCAUUCAUUCUCAACCCUCUUCUCCAUGAAGGAUUAAAUUCCAUGGAAGAAUCUUUGCAUCAUCAGUAACUAAGAUGAGAACAUUGACAGGCUGCUGAUAGUAUUCCCAGAUGACAUCACCGACACACUAGAUGAUGAAGCAGAAUCCAGUAAUUCAGUUUAACAACUAUUUACUGGUCACCAAGGAGGAGUCAGGCUGGAGUGAUUUGAUCCAGGCCUAGCAGCAUAGAUGGUGAAGAUUUCAUCCCAAAGUAAAUGUCAGUCACAAGUGGGCAUCAAGGAUAGUCCAGCUUAACUGCAGCAAGCUUUUAUGGAAGUCUUCUCCACGUUCUUCUUCUAGCAUAUCUAAGACUUAUAGUUUUGAGAAAGAGAUGAGAAGGAAAACAGCAAUACUUCAUAAAACAUCAAAAAAG